GACAGAGGAUGCAAGCGUUAUCCGGAAUGAUUGGGCGUAAAGCGUCUGUAGGUGGUUUGACAAGUCUUCUGUCAAAGAUCAGGGCUUAACCCUGGGCAGGCAGGAGAAACUAUUAGGCUAGAGUUCGGUAGGGGCAGAGGGAAUUCCCGGUGGAGCGGUGAAAUGCGUAGAGAGUCGGGAGGACACCAAAGGCGAAAGCACUCUGCUGGCCGCGACUGACACUGGAGAGACGAAAGCGAGGGAGCAAAUGGG
rnacentral:rRNA from 1 species